rnacentral:rRNA from 1 species
GACGAACGCUGGCGGCGCGCCUAACACAUGCAAGUCGAACGAGCGAGAGAGAGCUUGCUUUCUCAAGCGAGUGGCGAACGGGUGAGUAACGCGUGAGGAACCUGCCUCAAAGAGGGGGACAACAGUUGGAAACGACUGCUAAUACCGCAUAAGCCCACGACCCGGCAUCGGGUAGAGGGAAAAGGAGCAAUCCGCUUUGAGAUGGCCUCGCGUCCGAUUAGCUAGUUGGUGAGGUAACGGCCCACCAAGGCGACGAUCGGUAGCCGGACUGAGAGGUUGAACGGCCACAUUGGGACUGAGACACGGCCCAGACUCCUACGGGAGGCAGCAGUGGGGAAUAUUGCACAAUGGGGGAAACCCUGAUGCAGCGGCGCCGCGUGGAGGAAGAAGGUCUUCGGAUUGUAAACUCCUGUUGUUGAGGAAGAUAAUGACGGUACUCAACAAGGAAGUGACGGCUAACUACGUG